UUUUACUAACAAGAACUCAGAAGGAAUUUCAUCAGCCAACAGGUUGUCCAAAUGAGUGCUUUUACAUAGAUCCUGUAUCUAAAAGCUAUCACCAAAUUCCCCCAUGGGCUUUUGAAGAGGAAAAGAGGAAGCGAUAUCCGACCCGGGGGACUGGGCAGCCACCCAGAACAAACAACAACAGAUGACCAGGCAAAGGAAGGGAAGCAGAAAUUCUGAGGCCAAAGAGAUAUCAGGAAGACUGGCAAAGUAAGG